rnacentral:rRNA from 1 species
AGCAGCCGCGGUAAUUCCAGCUCCAAUAGCGUAUAUUAAAGUUGUUGCAGUUAAAAAGCUCGUAGUUGAAUUUCGGGGUUAGUAGGUUGGUCAUGCCUCUGGUAUGUACUGGUCUCACUGAUUCCUCCUUCCUGAUGAGCCGUAAUGCCAUUAAUUCGGUGUUGCGGGGAAUUUGGACUGUUACUUUGAAAAAAUUAGAGUGUUUAAAGCAAGCUAACGCUUGAAUACAUUAGCAUGGAAUAAUGAAAUAGGACGUUUGAUUCUAUUUUGUUGGUUUCUAGGAUCGACGUAAUGAUUAAUAGGGAUAGUUGGGGGCAUUAGUAUUCAAUUGUCAGAGGUGAAAUUCUUGGAUUUAUUGAAGACUAACUACUGCGAAAGCAUUUGCCAAGGAUGUUUUCAUUAAUCAAGAACGAAAGUUAGGGGAUCGAAGACGAUCAGAUACCGUCGUAGUCUUAACCAUAAACUAUGCCGACUAGGGAUCGGAUGAUGUUAAUUUUUAAUGACUCAUUCGGCGCCUUAA